rnacentral:misc_RNA from 1 species
AAGUCGUAACAAGGUUUCCGUAGGUGAACCUGCGGAAGGAUCAUUAUCACGUAUCCACGUAUAAACCAUUGUGAACCGUUUUUAACCUCCGCAAAUCCGAACCCUCGAAAAAGCAUGAGACGCAAGUUUCGUGUUUUGGAAAAGGGCCGGCGUAUACCGGAGUGUAUCUAUCUAUUAACCAUUUUAACCAAUCUUUAUAACUUUAUGAACUAACUUUAUUUCAUACUCUUCGGAGAUGAAAUUCAUUACGAAACAAAGAACAACUCUUAGCAACGGAUAUCUUGGUUCUC